UACGUAGGGUCCGAGCGUUGUCCGGAAUUACUGGGCUGAAGAAGACUCGUAGGUGGUUUGUCGCGUUGUUCGUGAAAACUCACAGCUUAACUGUGGGCGUGCGGGCGAUACGGGCAGACUUGAGUACUGCAGGGGAGACUGGAAUUCCUGGUGUAGCGGUGGAAUGCGCAGAUAUCAGGAGGAACACCGAUGGCGAAGGCAGAUCUCUGGGCCGUAACUGACGCUGAGGAGCGAAAGCGUGGGGAGCGAACAGG
rnacentral:rRNA from 1 species